AAUGAUAACGAUGGUCUCUUUUGUUUAUAUAGGGGAUGAAGCCAUUUUGAGUGUUGUUUAGAGGAGGCAAAAAAAAAAGAAUAUAAUUUUUAGAUAUGGUGACUCUGAUACCAUAUAGGUUUAAUGAUUUGAUUCAUUAGAUAGAGACUUGUAUGACUAGGAUAUUGAGAAACUUGUAUGACUAGGAUAUUGAGAAACUCGGGAGAUGUCAACUAGGUGGACGAUCAACUACGCACAACCUUAUAUAUAGACUAGGAUAUUGAGAAACUCUAAUUACAAUUAAACCUUUAAGUAUAGCAUAUAUUUCCUUGUAUGUCUAUAUUAACCAAAAAAAAAAACACUUUUGGAUAGG
rnacentral:lncRNA from 1 species